rnacentral:misc_RNA from 1 species
AAGUCGUAACAAGGUUUCCGUAGGUGAACCUGCGGAAGGAUCAUUAAAGAGUUCAUAAGCACAUUUGCGACGCAUGUCGCCUGCGGCGAGCCUUUUUUGAAUGGCACGUCGCAAGCGACGUGAUAGCAAAUUGGGGGGCUGGCGAGGGAUGCCGCCUGCGGCGUGCUUUUUUUGAAUGGCACGUCGCAAGCGACGUGAAAGCGCAAAUUGGCGAGGGUCGUCGCAAGCGAUGUGCUUUUAAAAACACGUCGCUUGCGACGUGCGAGCUAAUCGACGCGCGAGUAAACAUAAUGACACUAAUUCAAUACAUUAACAUUAUUUGUACCACUUUUGACAAUGGAUCUCUAGGCUCUU